CUUUUAUAAGGACAACAUUUAACUGGGGCUGGUUUACAGGUUCAGAGGUUCAGUCCAUUAUCAUCAAGGUGGGAGCAUGGCAGCAUCCAGGCAGGCAUGGUGCAGGAGGAGCUGAGAUUUCCACAUCUUCAUCUGAAGGCUGCUAGAAGACUGACUUCCAGCCAGCUAGGUUGAGGUCUUAAAACCCACGCCCAAAGUGACACACUUCCUCCAAUAAGACCACGCCCAUCCAACAAAGGCCACGCCCACCCCAACGAGGCUACACCUACUCCAACAAGGUCACACCUACUCCAACAAGGCCACACCUACUCCAACAAGGUCACACCUACUCCAACAAGGGCCACUCCCUGGGCCAAGCACAUACAAACCAUCACAAUGCUCUAGCCUUUCCCAAGGCCACCUGUAAUUAGGGCAGAGUUGUGAGCAACAGGUGGCAGAGAGAAAAGGGAUCCAUAGGUGAAGGUCUUGCGACCACCCCAGCCCCUCUAUGAGGGGAUGUAACAGCCACCAAGUCCAGCUAAGGUGAUCUUUUGCAAGUGGACACAGCUCAUGAGACACAGCAGCAGACAGCGGACUAGACACCAGCCCACGUGCUGCCUCCCGUAAAAGGUCCAAGGAACGUUAAUAACAGGAAACUGUCUUAAGAUAGAGUCUUCGUUGGGGUUGGGGAUUUAGCUCAGUGGUAGAGCGCUUGCCUAGCAAGCGCAAGGCAGCGCAAGGCCCUGGGUUCGGUCCCCAGCUCCGGAAAAAAAAAAAAAAAAAAAAAAAAAGAUAGAGUCUUCGCCUAGAACCCAGGCUGGCUUAGAAGUCUCCAUGGGGUAAUCCUCCUGCCCCAGCUUAUUAAGUCCUUGCACGAGGCACCAGCUAAACAGGGUUUUAUUUGAUUUUUUUUUUCCUUUUUGAGAAGGGCUCACUAUGUAGCCCCAGCUGGCAUGACUUGUAGAUCAGACUUGUCUGUAACUCGCAAAGAUCCCCCUGCCUCUGCCUCCCAAAUGCUGGGAAUAAAGGCUUGGGUCACCAUGCCCAGCAGCAGGAUUCUAAGGCUCCAGAGAUCCAAGAGUGAUCUUCGCACCCUCUGAGACUGACCUGGUCACUCUGGGAACUGAACAGAGAGCUCCUUCAUCCCGCCCCUGAUCUACAAUGAUGGGACAGGGCUGCAUGGCACCUGUGGUCACUUGGCUCUCCUUAGAAGUUAAGACUCAGUCUCCCCAGGACACUGCAUAGCCACGUUCCUCAGAGGAAGCUUAGCAGGAACCUGCCCCAGUAGCCAGACUUCCCCAGUGUUGUAUCUUUCCUGGGAGUCUUCCCUAACUAGACUCUUCCUUUCCCACCACGUUAGUUAAUUUUUAUGAACACCAGUGGUAGGCCUGAAAGCUGAGAAGCUUCCACACAGAUAAGAAGCACAAGAUGGGCCAGGAUGCUGCUCAACCACCUGGGAAGGGACAGGGGCUGGCAGCAAAUCCAUUCAUUCCUUCUAGAAAAAUCACCCCUGCACCUGCUGACCAACUUCGGGCUGUCAGUACCUUUUCCUGAGAAGCUAUCUGGCCAGCUGCAGCCCCCUCCCAUUUUGGUGCUUCUUGAUUAUGUCAGGUUGACAAGAAAAACAAGUGCACUGUAGCAGGGCUCCAGGCAUCGAGUCCCACUGUAAUGAAGUGGAAACCACACAGAAUGUGAGCACCUCCAAACUGUUCAUGGGGUCACCACUGCUCUGGCAUCUGCGGCUUCAGCCUUAUCCUAAUUCUCAAUAAAAAUUAGGACUGUUGAUCCCGA